rnacentral:lncRNA from 1 species
GCCGCCCCCUCGCAGCCCCCUGCCAGAACGGUGGCACGGCGGUGGGGGGCUCCUGCGCCUGCCCCCCCGGUUUCAACGGCACCCGCUGCGAGACCCCCGAGCCCACCAAGGCCUGCCGCAACGGGGGCACCCCGGUGGGCACCAAGUGCUUCUGCCCCCCCGGCUUCGGGGGCCCCCUCUGCGACCUCCCUGACCCCUCGGGCGCCUGCCACAAUGGGGGCACGGCCUUCGGGACCGCCUGCGUCUGCCCCCCCGGUUUUGGGGGGGCCACGUGCCAGCUCACCGAGCCCCCCGCCUCUUGCCUCAACGGGGGGACCCUGGAGGGGGGCGCUUGCCGGUGCCCCUCGGGAACCUGGGGACCCCGCUGCGAGUGUUUUGGUGCCGCCACCACCGCCACCACCACCACGGAUGAGAAGAUGACGGGGGUGGGGGGGGUAUCACGGGGAAGGGAGACCCCAGUCACAGCCCCCCCUGGAGGAAACACUACGCUCACAACCCCCCCAGCGAGCGACGGCACGGCGAUGACACGCCGGGAAAGCGACGGCGCGACCACGACGCCAAGAGGUGGGGAAGUCAAUGCGACACUCGGGACCCCCCCAGGAAGCAACAUGACGCCCACGGCCCCCCUGGGAAGCAACGUCACAGUUCUGGCCCCCCCAGAAAACAACAUGACGCUCACGUCCGCCCCAGAAAGUGAAACCACGGUGCCAACAACCUUGGAAAGCAACGCAGCGACGCAUGGGGAAGUCAACGCAACGCUCGUGACCCCCCCAGCAAGGAAUACAACGCCCCCGCCCCCCCCCGAAAGCAACACAACGCUCCUGGCCCCCCCUGAAAGCAACACGACAUUCCUGGCCCCCUCUGAAAGCGAAACCACGGAGCCAACAACCUUGGAAAGCAACACAACAAUGCGUGGGGAAGUCAACGCAACGCUUGUGACCCCCCCAGCAAGGAAUACAACGCUCCUGGCCCCCCCUGAAAGCAACAUAACACUCACAGUCCCCCCAGAAAGUGAAACCACGGAGCCAACAACCUUGGAAAACAAUACAACAAUGCAUGGGGAAGUCAACGCAACACUUGUGACCCCCCCAGCAAGGAAUACAACGCUUCUGCCCCCCCCCGAAAGUAAUAUGACAGUCGUGACCCCCCCAGAAAGCAACACGACAUUCACGGCCCCCCCCGAAAGUGAAACCACGGCACCAACGCCCUUGGAAAGCAACGCAACGACCACGCCGCCAACACAUGGGGAAGUCAACGCAACACUUGUGACCCCCCCAGGGAGAAACACAACACUCCUGGCCCCCCUGGAAAGCAAUGCCACAGUUCUGGCCCCCCUAGAAAGCAACACGACGUUCCUGGCCCCCCCCGAAAGCGAAACCACGGAGCCAACACCCUUGGAAAGCAACGCAACAAUGCCUUGGGAAGUCAACACAACGCUCGUGACCCCCCCCAAAAGCAACGUCACCCCCCCGACCGCCCCCACCAACAUGGCGGCCACCACGGGGACACCCCCGUCCCCUCCCAGCACCACCAGUGUCACCACUGUCACCAACAGCACUGUCUCGGCCAUGAUCUGCCUCUUCCUGCCGCACGGGUCCAGCCCUCCGGCCAUCACCUGCCUCAACGGCGGCGUCGCCAACCGCACCGAGUGCCUCUGCCCGCCUGGCUUCUCCGGCCUCACCUGCGAGAGGCCGGAUGCCGCCGCCCGCUGCGCCGCCGGCAGCACCGCUGUGGGCGACCGCUGCGUCUGCCCCCCGGGGCUGUCGGGACGCCGCUGCAACGUCCGCGACGAGGCCACCGCCUGCCAGCACGGGGGCACAGCCGUGGGCACCGAGUGCUAUUGCCCCCCGGGCUUCGAAGGUCCCCGGUGCGAGAGACAAGGUGCCACCACCACGACCGUGACCAUGACCACCACCAGCACCGCCACGCCCGCUCGCCCUACCACCAAGGCCACGCCGAGGAGCACCAGGAGAACCACCACCACCGCCAUCCCUACCACCGCAGACCCCUGCCUGAAUGGGGGGUACUGGACUGGGACCAUUUGCCUGUGUCCCCCCAACGUGGACGGAGCCCGCUGCCAGUUUGGGGCCUCGACCAUCAACAUCACAGCGGGUAAGACGUGGCGGGGAUGCCCCCAUUGUCCCCCCUAACCUUGGGGACUCACUGUGGGACCUCACCAACCUCCUCCUCCUCUUCCUCCCCAAGAGCUGGGUCCCAGCGUGGCGCUGAUGGCGCGCGUCACCAACCGCCGCUUCUCCGGGGACAUGGAGGACACCUCAUCCGCCGCCUUCCGCAGCUUCGCGGACGAGUUCAGCCGCACCGUGAGUACCCCAGCAUCGUGAUGGUGUCGCGACAGCGGCCCCAUGUCACAACGGGUGACACAUGUCUUCUUGUCCCCAGAUGGAUCGGGUCUACCAGAACGUCUCUGGCUACCACGGCACCCGGGUGCUGGCUCUGAUGUGAGUUUGUGGCCAACGGCGAGGAGGGGAUGGGAUGGGAUAGGGAGGAAGAUGGGGAUGAAGGGCAUGGGGAUGAAGAAGAAGAUAGGUACGGGGGUGAAGAAGGACAUGGGGAUGGAGAUGAGGUUGGGGACAGGGAUGAAGAUGGCGAUGAAGGGCAUGGGGAUGAAGAAGGGCAGCAUGGGGAUCAGGAAGGGCCUGGGGAUGAAGAUGAGGUUGAGGAGGAAGAUGAGGCUGAGGAGGAAUAUGGGGAUAAAGAAGGACAUGGGGAUGAAGAUGAGGUUGGGGAUGAAGAAGGGCCUGGGGAUGAUGAAGGGCGUGAAGUAGGGCAUGACGAUGGGGAUGAAGAAGGGGAUGAAGAGCACGGGGAUGGGAACAGGUGAGGAGCCCGCCGUGUCCCUCACCCCCCACCCUUUGUGCCCCCCAGGGAAGGCAGCGUGGUGGUGAACUACAAAGUCCUGCUGCAGCCUCCAGCCGGGGGCCAAGCCAACGCCAGCCUCGGCCAGAGGACUCGGGAGCUGCUGGAGGCUUCGAACGCGGCCAUCCAGCCCCAAAACUGCAGUGAAGGAGCGGGUGGGUGCUGGGGGGCGUAGGAUUGGGCCUCCUCACCCCAUUUCUUGCACCAAGGGGGCUCCGGUGACCCCCCCAAUCUCUUACAGAAGGGCUCUGCUUCGGUGCGCUCGCCACCCGGAGGGCCUUCGCCGCCGCGCCGAAGCUCAACGCCACCGGUGAGUGUGGGCAGUGGGGUGGUGGCGGGGAGUGGGACGGGGACGGGGUCUGAUCGGCAUCGCUGUCCCCUGCAGAGCUCUGCCGGAAGUACACGCCAGCCAACUUCAGCCACUUCUACUACCCCUACUGGAUGAAUAACAGCCUCCUCUGCAUCACCAACUGCACCCUCAACGUCCCCGGCACCAUCAACUGUGGCCCCGGGCUGUGCCGGGUGACGUUGGAUGGGCCCCGCUGCUUGUGAGCGCCGCCCGCCCGACCUUGCCCCCAAAUCCUGGCCUUUAGCCCCAGAUUUUGCCCCACGUGUCCGUCCCAACCUGCCCAAUGCUGGCUGAUAGCCAGGUUCUGGUCCUGAACCCAACCCUGUCCUAACCCAAAUCUGGUUCUGAUCACAGCGUUGGGACCCAACCCUCACCCCCACCCCAAGUCCUAUCCCUGCUGUGAACCCCAACCCCAAUCCUUGAACCCAAAUUCCAGAGUUUGAACCCCAAACCCCAAGCCUUGCCCUCCGAAAUCCAACUAUUAAUCUUCAGAUCCCAACUUUUUACCCCCAAAAUCCAAUCCUUGUCCCCCAAAGCCUAACCCUUGCUCUACAAAUCCCAACUUCUGUCCCCCAAACCCAAUCCUUGACCUCCAAACCCAACCCUUGACCUCCAAAUCCCAACUUUUGACCCCAAACCCCAUUACUUGUCCUCCAAAACCCCAAUCCUUGACCCCCCAAACCCCAACCCUUGACCCCAACCCAUGGACAUGGGGCUGGCUCUCCCACCUUCUCCCCGCCUCUGGGAGGGAUCCUGGGAACCUGAAGGAUCCUGACCCCCAAUGAAUACCCGGGGCCGGAUCUGGGGGUCCAGGACCCUGCCCAUGCUGUGUCUUCUCCUGCAGCUGCCCCGAUGUGCCCUGGUACCUCUCCUCCGGCGACCGCUGCCAGACCCACAUCAGCAAACUGGGGCUGGGGCUGGGCGUGGGGCUGGGGCUGGGGCUGACCCUCCUCAUCCUGCUCGUCCUCUGCAUCGUCCUCUCCAUCUGCUUGGCCCAGGGGAAGAGAAAAACGCCCAGCAUCAGGUGAAGGGAGCAGGGCAGGCAGCCGGGGGAGGUCCAGAGAGGAGGUCCAACACCCUCAGAAGCGCCCCUUUGCCUCAACUUGGAGGGGCAGCAGCUUUUCCCCGUGGGGUGGGUGGGUUCAGCCCCAUCCCACCCCAUGCAUGAGCCUCACGGGAGGCCUUGCUCCACAGCGAGGACCAUAGGUGGCCAGACGGCAAGCGCAACGCUCGUGCCACCGGCAUCUACCACGUCAACGGCAGAGGCUCGACGCUACGUCAAGGUGAGACCUGGUGGGGGCAAACCCAGACCCUUCAUGGGGAGAAGACCCUCACCAGAAAAUUCCUCACCAGAAUCUUCUCCCCUUCCAGGUCCCUACGCUCACAGCUCCUACAAGACCAACGCAGAGGUUGCAGACCCUCCUGUGCUGGUGGGUGCACAAGAUGGUGGCUGUGGUAGAGCCAUGGGGUGGGAUGAGUUGGGGUGGGAUGAGUUGGGGUGGGAUGUAAGGAAGCCUUCAAGCUCACCCAGUCCAAGCCAUCCAGGGAUGUCUCACAUGAUGCUGGGUUCCUCAAAGCCCCGAAGCCAAACCUGAUCUUGAAGACUCGCAACGGGGCCUCCAUGACUUCUCCAGGCCACCCCGGAUCUGGCCUCAAUGCUCCUUCCCUCUUCACAGGGGGAAGCAGAAGGUGCGGCGUCCCUGUGAGCUGCGAAGUGGCCCCCAAAACCAGCUUGAGGAGGGGCCAAGACCACCUCGAUGUCCUUCAUCACCCACCACACAGGACCCUUGGCUUGGGUGGCAGAGACCGCCGACCUCACCGUGUGGGAAAACCUCCUCCUCUCAGCAUUUCUCAUUUUUGGGGCAAAAGCAGUCGGGAUCCGGUUCUUCUGUGAGAGAAGAGGGGUCUCCCAUGGCCUUGGGGACCCCUUGCUGGAGAGGACACAAUAGCACCCAGGUCCCAUCCUUCCUUGCAAAGCUUCGCCUGGGCCGGAGCAGGAUGAGCCUCGUCCCCGUGGAAAUAUAUUUAAUUAUAUUUAUUAACGUAUUUUUGUUGUCUUCUGAAAAAUAAUGUGGGCAGCUGGGGUUGGGAGAGCACAGCCAAUGGCGUGCUUGGGCUGGGGGCUUGGGUCAUGGUUGGGAGGGGCUGGAAUUGAGACCGGGAGACCCAACCAUGGCUGGAAUUGAUCUCAGAAGACCCAACCAGGGUUGGAAUCGAUUUGGAAAGACCCAACUGUGGCUGAAAAUGAUCUCAGUAGACCAAACCAUGGUCGGAAUCGAUCUGGAAAGACCCAGCCUUGGCUGGAAACAGUCUCAGAAGACCCAAACAUGGUUGGAAUCGAUCUGGAAAGACCCAGACAAGGCUGGAAUAGAUCUCAGAGAACUCCGACACAGCUGGAAGCUGCCCAGGACAGCACGGACGUGACUGCUAAUGGGCUUGGCGGGUCCGGGGCGCGUUUGUUUGCUCAUUGAUGAAGAGGAAACGCCCCUGUUUGCAGAUCCCAGCUCGGAGGAGGGGGCGGACGCCCGGCUUUGUGUGUGCCCAUCCCAAAAGGCAAUAAAUAUUCUGCUGGUGCCA